rnacentral:rRNA from 2 species
UAAAGCUCUGUUGUUAGGGAAGAACAAGUGCAAGAGUAACUGCUUGCACCUUGACGGUACCUAACCAGAAAGCCACGGCUAACUACGUGCCAGCAGCCGCGGUAAUACGUAGGUGGCAAGCGUUGUCCGGAAUUAUUGGGCGUAAAGGGCUCGCAGGCGGUUUCUUAAGUCUGAUGUGAAAAGCCCCCGGCUCAACCGGGGAGGGUCAUUGGAAACUGGGAAACUUGAGUGCAGAAGAGGAGAGUGGAAUUCCACGUGUAGCGGUGAAAUGCGUAGAGAUGUGGAGGAACACCAGUGGCGAAGGCGACUCUCUGGUCUGUAACUGACGCUGAGGAGCGAAAGCGUGGGGAGCGAACAGGAUUAGAUACCCUGGUAGUCCACGCCGUAAACGAUGAGUGCUAAGUGUUAGGGGGUUUCCGCCCCUUAGUGCUGCAGCUAACGCAUUAAGCACUCCGCCUGGGGAGUACGGUCGCAAGACUGAAACUCAAAGGAAUUGACGGGGGCCCGCACAAGCGGUGGAGCAUGUGGUUUAAUUCGAAGCAACGCGAAGAACCUUACCAGGUCUUGACAUCCUCUGACAACCCUAGAGAUAGGGCUUUCCCUUCGGGGACAGAGUGACAGGUGGUGCA